AUGUAUAUUUUACUCAAUUAUUGUGUAAAAGUACUAUACUGGCGCCGAUACAGGAUGGCUGCCUCCGUGACGUGCUCUGCAGUUGUUUUUGUGUUUUUGUUAGUUUGUCCUGUCUUUAGUUAUAUUCCUGCAAUCAGUUUCACCAGGGACGAAUUGCUGGACAUUCGGCACCACACAUCUCCCGAUAUAUUACCGGUUUUCGACUAUUCUGAUGUUUUGCUGGACAUUUUUGUCGGUGGAGCAGCUGCGCUGAUCACACGCUUCAAGAGGACGCGCAGACGAGGAAAAAGAGCUGGCGCGCUCGUGAGACUCAGAAAACGCGGAUUUCGAACGCCGUUGCCUAGCAUCCAUCUGGCAAAUCUCCGCUCUCUCCCCAACAAAACGGACGAACUCCUUCUGCUCUCUCGGACAAAUAAGAAUUUCUCACACUCUGCUGCUCUGUGUUUCACGGAAACUUGGCUGCAUGACGCUAUUCCGGACAGCGCGCUCCAUCUGCCGGGCUUUCAGCUGUUCAGAGCGGACCGCGAUACAGAAUCAACGGGGAAAAUCGCGGCGGCGGAACGUGCUUUUUACAUCAAUGAACGGUGGUGUACAGAUGUAACUGUGUUAAAAAAGAUGUGCUGCUCAGAUCUAGAAACACUCUUCAUUAACUGCAAGCCGUUCUAUUCGCCGCGGGAGUUUCACUCGUUCAUUCUGGUGAGCGUUUACAUCCCUCCGCAAGCGCACGUAAGUCUGGCUUUACAGAAACUCGCUGAUCAGAUCACAGAGACAGAACAACAACACCCGGACUCCAUUUUAAUCAUUCUUGGGGACUUUAAUAAAGCCAACCUCUCCCGUGAGCUGCCAAAAUACAGACAGCAUGUUACAUGUCCCACAAGAGACAGUAAUAUAUUGGAUCACUGUUACACCACAAUAAAGGAUGCAUAUCACUCUGUUCCACGAGCAGCUUUGGGACGUUCUGAUCACUGUCUGAUUCAUCUUAUACCGACCUACAGGCAGAAACUAAAAAUCAGCUAA
ensembl:lncRNA